AAACCAGGUUUCGAUCAGGGCCAGUAUAAUGAGCGCGGUGCGCAGGCCCAGCAUGCGCGGCGCAGGCGCGGAUUCGGGCGCGGCGGGAUCGGCAAUGGUCGGUAUGACGGAAUUCAUGGUGUCCNNNNNCUAUCCCCCGCCGGCGCACAGCGGCCCUGCGGGGCUUUCGGCCAUCUUCCCUUUGUCGGAAAAGCGAUUAGAACGGUUCAAACAAGAUGCCAGGCCCGCGCCGGGCCAUUGAAAUUCCGGCGUUUUUCG
rnacentral:misc_RNA from 1 species